rnacentral:rRNA from 1 species
UACGUAGGGUGCAAGCGUUAAUCGGGAUUACUGGGCGUAAAGCGUGCGCAGGCGGUUCUAUAAGGCAGGUGUGAAAUCCCCGGGCUCAACCUGGGGAUGGCAUUUGAGACUGUAUGGCUAGAGUGUGUCAGAGGGGGGUAGAAUUCCACGUGUAGCAGUGAAAUGCGUAGAGAUGUGGAGGAAUACCGAUGGCGAAGGCAGCCCCCUGGGAUAACACUGACGCUCAUGCACGAAAGCGUGGGGAGCAAACAGG